rnacentral:misc_RNA from 1 species
GACAAAUACUGCUAGUUUAGAACGAAGACAUGGUGGGCCUUAUGGUACUACCCAAAACAACGAGAUAGAGGCUUCUGGGAAUUCAACUGGACAAAAUACUUAUGAAGAUGGUUAUGGUGUUGCCCAGGGACGUGGCCCGCUGCCUGCUACUGCAGGUGCUGCAUCCAGUGCUGGUGCAACCGCAUACACAGGACCUCAAACUGGU